UAGUGGCGAACGGGUGAGUAACACGUGAGUAACCUGCCCUUAACUCUGGGAUAAGCCUGGGAAACUGGGUCUAAUACCGGAUAUGACUCCUCAUCGCAUGGUGGGGGGUGGAAAGCUUUUUUGUGGUUUUGGAUGGACUCGCGGCCUAUCAGCUUGUUGGUGAGGUAAUGGCUCACCAAGGCGACGACGGGUAGCCGGCCUGAGAGGGUGACCGGCCACACUGGGACUGAGACACGGCCCAGACUCCUACGGGAGGCAGCAGUGGGGAAUAUUGCACAAUGGGCGCAAGCCUGAUGCAGCGACGCCGCGUGAGGGAUGACGGCCUUCGGGUUGUAAACCUCUUUCAGUAGGGAAGAAGCGAAAGUGACGGUACCUGCAGAAGAAGCGCCGGCUAACUACGUGCCAGCAGCCGCGGUAAUACGUAGGGCGCAAGCGUUAUCCGGAAUUAUUGGGCGUAAAGAGCUCGUAGGCGGUUUGUCGCGUCUGCCGUGAAAGUCCGGGGCUCAACUCCGGAUCUGCGGUGGGUACGGGCAGACUAGAGUGAUGUAGGGGAGACUGGAAUUCCUGGUGUAGCGGUGAAAUGCGCAGAUAUCAGGAGGAACACCGAUGGCGAAGGCAGGUCUCUGGGCAUUAACUGACGCUGAGGAGCGAAAGCAUGGGGAGCGAACAGGAUUAGAUACCCUGGUAGUCCAUGCCGUAAACGUUGGGCACUAGGUGUGGGGGACAUUCCACGUUUUCCGCGCCGUAGCUAACGCAUUAAGUGCCCCGCCUGGGGAGUACGGCCGCAAGGCUAAAACUCAAAGGAAUUGACGGGGGCCCGCACAAGCGGCGGAGCAUGCGGAUUAAUUCGAUGCAACGCGAAGAACCUUACCAAGGCUUGACAUGGGCCGGACCGGGCUGGAAACAGUCCUUCCCCUUUGGGGCCGGUUCACAGGUGGUGCAUGGUUGUCGUCAGCUCGUGUCGUGAGAUGUUGGGUUAAGUCCCGCAACGAGCGCAACCCUCGUUCCAUGUUGCCAGCGCGUAAUGGCGGGGACUCAUGGGAGACUGCCGGGGUCAACUCGGAGGAAGGUGGGGACGACGUCAAAUCAUCAUGCCCCUUAUGUCUUGGGCUUCACGCAUGCUACAAUGGCCGGUACAAAGGGUUGCGAUACUGUGAGGUGGAGCUAAUCCCAAAAAGCCGGUCUCAGUUCGGAUUGGGGUCUGCAACUCGACCCCAUGAAGUCGGAGUCGCUAGUAAUCGCAGAUCAGCAACGCUGCGGUGAAUACGUUCCCGGGCCUUGUACACACCGCCCGUCAAG
rnacentral:rRNA from 1 species